CUGGAGGAGUCCGGAUGGUACUGUGGAAGCUCGGAUGGUAGGGGGAGUUCAGAAAGAUGCCGCACAAGGUCGGAAGCCGGAAGAGUCAUGGGAGGGUUGGCCUCUUACGAACUUCGGCUGGGGUUAUUUUAUACCCAACACCACAGAUGCUAACUAACAAUCUUACAUAACAUCUUUUCUUGGGCAGUUCCCCCAGCAUAUUAUGCACAUCUAGCUAUU
rnacentral:lncRNA from 1 species